GGCAAAAGACCCCCACUACACCCUGGGGGAGGAAGACUUGGGCCAGUGCAUUUCAGAAUGAGUCGUCUGCCAGUGUAAUAAUUCUAUCAGUCACUGAAGAAGCCCAGUCACUCCAACUUGUAGUAAGAACCCACCAUUUGCAAAUACCACAUUUAAAUUUGAUACAACAUCCAUGUAAAGAACCUAGGCUACUGAAUCUUGAGAAACCAUGUGAAAAGAAAAAGAGACACCCAGCCAGUGCUGCCCCAGCUGAAGCACCAGACAUGUGAGUGAGGAUCCUGGAUCGUUGGGCCCCAGGGGAGCAGUACCAGCCUCUGCCACAUGGAACAGAGAUGAGCCAUCCCCAGAGACCACAGCCCAACUGGAGAAUUGUGAGAAACAAUCAAUGGCUGUGGUUUUAGGGUAUGAAAUUUGCACUGGUUAGUUAUGGAGCAACAGGUAACUGAAAACAAGGCCCUAAAUGCCCUCCCAUCACUCUUAUUACCUCUUAUUUACCUUUCCCCACAAAGCCAGAGCUCCAGUCCUACAAAGCUACUUAGACAUCAACAAUGAGUCAUGGUCUUCUUUGCUGGCAUUCCUUUGCAUGUGUUACUAUUAUUUCCAGAAUGUUCAUCCUACCUUUAUCAGUCUGACUGCUAUUCAUCUUUUAAGAUUUGUUUUCUAUGU